GACGAACGCUGGCGGCGUGCUUAACACAUGCAAGUCGAACGGAAAGGCCCUGCUUUUGUGGGGUGCUCGAGUGGCGAACGGGUGAGUAACACGUGAGUAACCUGCCCUUGACUUUGGGAUAACUUCAGGAAACUGGGGCUAAUACCGGAUAGGAGCUCCUGCUGCAUGGUGGGGGUUGGAAAGUUUCGGCGGUUGGGGAUGGACUCGCGGCUUAUCAGCUUGUUGGUGGGGUAGUGGCUUACCAAGGCUUUGACGGGUAGCCGGCCUGAGAGGGUGACCGGCCACAUUGGGACUGAGAUACGGCCCAGACUCCUACGGGAGGCAGCAGUGGGGAAUAUUGCACAAUGGGCGCCAGCCUGAUGCAGCGACGCCGCGUGGGGGAUGACGGCCUUCGGGUUGUAAACUCCUUUCGCUAGGGACGAAGCUUUUUGUGACGGUACCUAGAUAAGAAGCACCGGCUAACUACGUG
rnacentral:rRNA from 1 species